AUUGAACGCUGGCGGCAGGCCUAACACAUGCAAGUCGAACGAGUGGCGGACGGGUGAGUAAUGUCUGGGAAACUGCCUGAUGGAGGGGGAUAACUACUGGAAACGGUAGCCAAUACAGCAUACCAUCGGAUGUGCCCAGAUGGGAUUAGCUAGUAGGGGGGGUAAAGGCUCACCUAGGCGAUGACCCCUAGCUUGUCUGAGAGGAUGACCAGCCACACGGGAACGGAUACACGGUCCAGACUCCGACGGGAGGCAGCAGUGGGAAAUAUUGCACAAUGGGCGCAAGCCGGAUGCAGCCAUGCCGCGUGUAUGAAGAAGGCCUUCGGGUUGUAAAGUACUUUCAGCGGGGAGGCGUUACCCGCAGAAGAAGCACCGGCGAACUCCGUGCCAGCAGCCGCGGUAAUAC
rnacentral:rRNA from 1 species